rnacentral:rRNA from 1 species
AUUGAACGCUGGCGGCAGGCCUAACACAUGCAAGUCGAGCGAGCGGCGGACGGGUGAGUAAUGUCUGGGAAACUGCCUGAUGGAGGGGGAUAACUACUGGAAACGGUAGCUAAUACCGCAUACCAUCAGAUGUGCCCAGAUGGGAUUAGCUAGUAGGUGGGGUAACGGCUCACCUAGGCGACGAUCCCUAGCUGGUCUGAGAGGAUGACCAGCCACACUGGAACUGAGACACGGGCCAGACUCCUACGGGAGGCAGCAGUGGGGAAUAUUGAACAAUGGGCAAAAGCCGGAUGCAGCCCUGCCGCGUGUGGGAAGAAGGCCUUCGGGUUGUAAAGCACUUUCAGCGGGGAGGCGUUACCCGAAGAAGAAGCACCGGCUAACUCCGUGCCAGCAGCCGCGGUAAUUC